CGGCGGACGGGUGAGUAACACGUGGAUAACCUACCUAUAAGACUGGGAUAACUUCGGGAAACCGGAGCUAAUACCGGAUAAUAUAUUGAACCGCAUGGUUCAAUAGUGAAAGACGGUUUUGCUGUCACUUAUAGAUGGAUCCGCGCCGCAUUAGCUAGUUGGUAAGGUAACGGCUUACCAAGGCAACGAUGCGUAGCCGACCUGAGAGGGUGAUCGGCCACACUGGAACUGAGACACGGCCCAG
rnacentral:rRNA from 1 species